rnacentral:lncRNA from 1 species
UCCGCCCACACCGGGUCCCACCCCGGCUUCGUCAUCUCCGGCGGCGCGUCCGCCCACACCUCCCUCAGAUCCUCCUCCUUCCACCGCUCUGGGUCCUUCGGGAAGUCGAAGAGGUCCUCGUAGAACUUGUACUUCCUCUCCUCCUCCUCCUGGAUCCGCUUCACGCGCUUCCCCUCCAGCACGCGGUUGAACCGCCGGAUGUUGGUCUCCGGUGUUGUGUUCGGGUCGGGUGGUAGGUCGCUUGGCCGGAUGUAGUUGAAGCCGUCGGUUUCGCGUUCCGGUUCGCCUUCGGAGGAUGAGUCCGAGUCCGAGCCCGAGUCCGAGUCCGAGCCGGGUUCUUCGUCCGAGUUAGCAUUGGGGGAUUUUUGGUCUUCUUCUUCUUCAUCGCUCGGGGAGUCAUUUUUAUCAUAUAUUUUAUUUAUUUUAAAUUAAAUUCUUAAUCUUGUUUUAUUAUACUACUGCUUAAAUUUUUAAAGCUAUAUAUUACUAACCUAUAACUGCCAUAAUUAUAAGUUUCCUACUAAAUUUUAAUAAAUGUAUUAUUAUCUUGCUAAAUAUUGAUUCAUCGUUGAAAAAAAUAUUUUAAAUAUUAUUAUAAUAUAUAGCUCUAAUACUAUUCAGUUACAAAAAAAAUUAUUCUAAUAUAUAAUUUGAUAGUAAAAAAAAAGUGAGGCCACACUAUGUUAAUGUGCUUUAAGCCACCAAAUUAGCAGGGACGGCACUGUCUAUAUGUAUAGUCAUCUUUAAAAAAAAAGUAUAUGUAUAAUCAUUCUACAAUAUAAGUUAUAACCAGUUAGACAAUACUAUACAAAUAAACAGAAGAAUAAUUAAACAAUGAAAAAUAUUAACAUUAAAAUUGAUUGAUGCAGACUUCCAUGUCUUUGUAUACCUUGGAAAAAUAUUGCGCUUACUUACGAAAGUUAAUUAUGGAAAGCGGAAGAAAACUCCCACUUGCAACACAUUAUAACUUCGUUUAAUCUUAUACCAUUUCACGGACCACAAAUAGAACAUUCCCAUAUAUAGAGUUUUGUCCAAUCACUAAGAAUUGUAACUUAAACCGGAAUCAGAAUCAAAAUCAAAACUGAAACCGAAUGCUUAACCAAGAUCCAGACAAGUCGGUAGAUCCUAAGUGCAUGGCUCCUCCACACUCACCAACUACCACAUUGUGCUUGAUAUGAUCUCUCUUUCUCUUACCUACCACCCCACUCCACUCUUGAUUUCAACAUUUGUCUUUUUGGGUUAACUUUUCGAUAUUUGUCUUGAUUAACUUUUCUUUACUAAAAACAAUUAACAUGAUAAUGGAAGUGUUUUAGUCAUCUUUGUCUGUAACACCACACCCAUGCAUUCUACCAUGCUUCCAUUGACCAGCAUAGCGAUAACGACCUUUCUCCCUGGUUAUACAAAAUCAUAUAAUAUAUAAAUCCUCAUAUUAAACCAAACCACUCAAAUGAUUGUGGAGAUGCAAAUGCAAGCCAUCUAGUAACAUCAUUGCUAAACUCACGGUUUUUCGCCAAACUGAGUGAUCCACUCUUCGUUUUCAUAGUAAGGAACUUCGUAAUUCCCAUCAGUUAGCGCAACACUGUCCUCGACAUCCAUUUCCAACCACUUCCUGUCUUCGGGAGACAUAUAAUCUCUCUUGAUAAUCCUUCCUUCAGCACGCAUCUUCUCUUCAAGCCUGCAUAAGACCGAAAGAACAAUAUCAUGCUCGUUCAAACGAAUAUGUCCAUAAAUAUCCCACGGGAAGACUGAUUAAUACUAGGAAUGAGAUAACCAUACUUGGAACCUGGCAUGGGCUCAAUGUCAGGAAUAUCAACUUCAACAACCCCAUGACCUUCCAUGUCAUUCUGAAGCCAUUCACCCUCGUACCUAAAUGUUCAUAUACAGAGCCAACAAAUAUAAAAACACUAACAAUAGAACAAAAAACAAACGGUAAAACUAGGAAAAUAGAGAUAUGAUCACACACCUCACAAGGCCAUUUUCAGCAAUGUAAACACCUUUGCCUUGAGCCAAGUCAUCCCAUACUGUGCCUUCAUACCUUAAAGCCAAAACAAACAAAAAAAAAGAGAGAUAAGAGAGCUACUUAAAUCAAGAUGCAAGUAUCUUUCCAUCACAAAGCUACCCAAACACUCGUAUCUAAAACUCAACCUACAUUGCCAUUUCCUCCAGCUCCACAAUCCAAACACUCUACUUAAAUAAGAAAAAUACUACAUAAAAUGCAAAGCUUCGUCAAAAGCCAACAUGGAUGGAGCUCAUAUUAAAAAGCAAACUAAUAAAGUUACUAGCUUUAUUAGUAUUAAUACUAAUUCACAACUUCAAACAUCAAACUAAAGAGGAUCUCACGAGCUGCCGUCAGGGAAGAUGUAGCUGACCCACUGAAGAAACUCCUCAAUCCUAUCAAGCUCCUCAACAACAGCCUUAGGAGUAUCAAUGUCAUAGUGGUUAUCCGGAAUCGCCGGGUACGGCUUCCUAUAGGGAACGUAGAAAGGCUGAAUCCCAGGAUCCCUCCCUUCCUGAAUCUCCUCGUUCACCACCUCCCAAUCCUCCUCCUCCGCCCACACCGGGUCCCACCCCGGCUUCGUCAUCUCCGGCGGCGCGUCCGCCCACACCUCCCUCAGAUCCUCCUCCUUCCACCGCUCUGGGUCCUUCGGGAAGUCGAAGAGGUCCUCGUAGAACUUGUACUUCCUCUCCUCCUCCUCCUGGAUCCGCUUCACGCGCUUCCCCUCCAGCACGCGGUUGAACCGCCGGAUGUUGGUCUCCGGGGUUGUGUUCGGGUCGGGCGGU